AUUGAACGCUGGCGGCAUGCUUUACACAUGCAAGUCGAACGGCAGCACGGGUGCUUGCACCUGGUGGCGAGUGGCGGACGGGUGAGUAAUACAUCGGAACGUAUCCAGAAGAGGGGGAUAACGCAUCGAAAGAUGUGCUAAUACCGCAUAUUCUCUGAGGAGGAAAGCAGGGGAUCGAAAGACCUUGCGCUUUGGGAGCGGCCGAUGUCUGAUUAGCUAGUUGGUGGGGUAAAGGCCUACCAAGGCGACGAUCAGUAGUUGGUCUGAGAGGACGACCAGCCACACUGGGACUGAGACACGGCCCAGACUCCUACGGGAGGCAGCAGUGGGGAAUUUUGGACAAUGGGCGCAAGCCUGAUCCAGCAAUGCCGCGUGAGUGAAGAAGGCCUCGGUUGUAAGGACUCUUUCUAGUCGAGAAGAAAAAGACUAGCAGUGAAGUAACUAGUAGUUCGUAUGACGGUAUCGACAGAAGAAGACG
rnacentral:rRNA from 1 species